rnacentral:misc_RNA from 1 species
GCUGAAUCAUCAAGACGCUCUACGGGAAUGUCACCGACAGUUUCAUGGGGUUUGGGGACAACUGAUGAAGACUGGAUAUCAAAACUCUAGGUUUGCCCAUCAAGUAGAGAGAUUUGCAUGCCUUUACAGCAGCCAAGUGACAAACUUGAGCCUAUAUUCCCCAGAUAAAUACUACAGGCCAAGUGAAGAUUUUAUGCCCCAUGAAUUUGGUAUCAUCCCUUUGUGAAAUUGUUAAAAAAUUCAAUCUCUGUCUCUAUAAAUUCCUCAAAACAGAGAAAUAUAUAAUUAGUUAACGUAGUACAUAGUUGCACU